GACGAACGCUGGCGGCGUGCUUAACACAUACAAGUCGAACGGUGAAGCGCCUUCCUUUUUGGUGGGUGUGGAUGAGUGGCGAACGGGUGAGUAACACGUGAGUAACCUGCCCCCUUCUUCUGGAUAACCGCAUGAAAGUGUGGCUAAUACGGGAUAUUCUGGGUCUGUCGCAUGAUGGGUCUGGGAAAGAUAUUGUUUCGGUGGGGGAUGGGCUCGCGGCCUAUCAGCUUGUUGGUGGGGUGAUGGCCUACCAAGGCGGUGACGGGUAGCCGGCCUGAGAGGGUGGACGGUCACACUGGGACUGAGACACGGCCCAGACUCCUACGGGAGGCAGCAGUGGGGAAUAGUGCACAAUGGGCGCAAGCCUGAUGCAGCGACGCCGCGUGAGGGAUGGAGGCCUUCGGGUUGUGAACCGCUUUCGCCAGUGAAGCAGGCCUGCCUCGUUUGUGGGUGGGUUGACGGUAGCUGGAUAAGAAGCGCCGGCUAACUACGUG
rnacentral:rRNA from 1 species